rnacentral:tRNA from 1 species
GGCUUUAUAUUCAAUUUAUGAUAUUAGAAUGCAAUUCUAAAGUUGUGUUUCACUAAAGCUU